ensembl:lncRNA
AGGGUGCAGGUUGAGGUGCUGUUUGUGUGUGGGGUGACCUCCCCGCUCGGUGGGUCGAGGUAGCUCCCUGGGCUUCCAAAGACGAGACGUUGGUGAUGUUCUGCUGCUGCCGGGCGGGCCAGCCUGUAACUCAGGCGUUGGCGGGAGCCUCGUGCUCCGCGGGGCUUCUUGAAGAGGGUGAGGUGUGGGGGUACCGUCCUGUAGGCAGGGCUGUGUGUGCCCCCCGUGUGUGCUUGGUGAGCUGCGUUCUGAGAGACCCCCUGUACUCAGGUGGGAAUGUGGCCCCGGCCUUUCAGAGGCGCGGGGCCGUGAGAUGCGGGGUGGGGCUUGCGCCCUCCCUGGAAUCGGGGCUGGGAUCCCGACUGCGGCCUUUGGCCGUGCCGCCCCGCUGCCUGGCUGCUGAGAGUUGCUCCUGCCGCUGGGGGGGAAACCGAGCUCUGUGGCUCCAGGGGUGUUGUCCACCCGCCUGUAAUCAGGGUCUGGGUGCGCGAGCGUUUGUGCUCUGCUGGCAGCCUGUGUGGGGUGACCGCCCCGCUAGCGGGGUGUGGGUCGAGGUGCCCCGGACUGGGAGAGAAGGAGCCUCCCUCGGCCGUAGGGAUGGGGGCUGCCCUGUAAGUCAGGGAGCAUCUGUGUCCCGGAGUCCCAGGCCCUUUUCAAUGGCGGCAGUGGCCGGGGGUCCCCUGUAAGCAGGGAAGCUGACUCUUUGGCUGCUGCUUUUUGUGUGCCCAGCCCCAUUUGCCCAGUCUGCCCGCCUCUGUGAUCCCCCGCAGCACUGGCUGGAAGUCCGCCGCGUGUCAGUGAGGAGCUGCUGCAGAAGAAAGAAGAAGCGGCGUGGGGACCUGGGCUGCAAAAUCAAGAUGGGGAAAAAUCAACCUACGGUUGAGGAACAAUGUGAACGUGAAGCCAGGUUUGCUGGAUUAGAUUUGUCUCAUGGCUAUUCAACUACCUGGGCUCUCCCUCUUCUGCACAGGACAGGAAGAGAAAUCAAGAUGGAACAGCUGGUGGGAGAUGGCCUACUGGCUAGCAUUAAAGGAAAAAGAGUUUGGACUUUGGGAAAAUUGAUUUCAUUUAUUCUGGGUAAUCCUGAAUGCUGCUAUGCUUUUCUCUGAUUUUGAAUUAAUAGAAAUCAGAUAUAUGCUCUUGCUGAUUUGAUGGAACUUAAAUAAAAUCACAGGGUGAGGAGAG